AUACAUACAUCAUGGAGAUUUGGGGACCACAAGGAUCACACCAAAAUCACAAGACUCACACUCCAAACUAAGGCGAAUUUCAGUUUAAUUUCACUGCAUUUUAGACAAAACCAAAUGCAAAUCAAAUGCAACAAAUUAACAUCCAAACAAUAUCAACCUUUAAUCCUAAAAACUCACACGGAGCAUUAAGUUAGUAUUUCUCCAAACACCAUCCUAACUAAAAAAAAUUCCUCAUUUCCCU
rnacentral:lncRNA from 1 species